AUUGAACGCUAGCGGGAUGCCUUACACAUGCAAGUCGAACGGAGUGGCGGACGGGUGAGUAAUGUAUCGGAACGUGCCCAGUAGCGGGGGAUAACUACGCGAAAGCGUAGCUAAUACCGCAUACUAUUGGAGCGGCCGAUAUCGGAUUAGCUAGUUGGUGGGGUAACGGCUCACCAGGGCGACGAUCCGUAGCUGGUCUGAGAGGACGACCAGCCACACUGGGACUGGGACACGGCCCAGACUCCUACGGGAGGCAGCAGUGGGGAAUAUUGGACAAUGGGGGAAAGCCUGAUCCAGCCAUGCCGCGUGUGCGAAGAAGGCCUUCGGGUUGUAAAGCACUUUAAGCAGGGAAGCGGUACCUGCAGAAUAAGCACCGGCUAACUACGUGCCAGCAGCCGCGGUAAUAC
rnacentral:rRNA from 1 species